AACGGCCGUACCAUGCUGAAUAUACCGGUUCUCGUUAGAUCACCGAAGUUAAGCAUCAUUGACCACCUGGGAACACUGCGUGCGGUCAGUACUUGGGUGGGUGACCACCUGGGAACACUGCGUGCGG